GUUACCUAGUUUGAACCGCGGUUCGUUAUCCCCUUUCGUGCCCUUGUCGUAAGGCGGUCUUCGGAGGAGACGCGGAGGUCUUUGCUCUUCUUUCCCCAUUCUUGAUCACCGUCCUCCUCCUCCUCCCAUCUCGUCUUGGAUCUGUCGGCCGGCCAUGGCGUCGCAGGAGUACCUCUACAAGAUGCUGCUCCGGCAGACCUACCGGAACCUUUGGCUCACCGAUCUCAUGAGCACCAUCCAGGCCGACUUCUCCCCCUGCUUUCUUUCUGGCGCUUUGGUGGUAAAUCCUCGGCUUUUAUGUUGCGGAUAGUGGGCCAUGCGUUUCCUACAUGCUCUGCAGAAGGGCUCUUUACAAUGACAUGUCAAGGUAAUUUCAGUGGGCCAUCUGUUGCGCGGGUUAUCUACCAUGCAGAGGGAAAUGUGGAGAAAGUCGAUGCCCAGAGUUCUGCUUUUGCGCUGAGGUUUUCUUGUGCUUUGGUAAUUCUGUUGCCUCAAAUCGCUUCUUGCUCCAAGAUGAGUUCAACAUACAGACGACUCAAUGCCAAACUGCAUGUGUAUUCGGUUACCUUCAUCCGACUGGUAAUGGGUCAGCCAAUUCAAACUUGAGUAGACGGACCCAGUUCAUGGGUUGCGACAGUCCAAGUAUGGGCCUGUUUCAGGCCCAUUAACAGCUGAAAAGAAAAAGUUGAUUUUCUAUGUGAAAUCAGCAGUUACCUCUUAAAAUCUGUCUUUAUGAAUUUAAUGCUGGGAUUUAUGGUUUGUCUGCAACAAGUUGCUUGGGUCUUUUCCAUUGUUGCAAUGAUCAUCGGAAGUCAGGAGAUCCAAAGAAGCUUCCC